AAACGACUCUCGGCAACGGAUAUCUCGGCUCUCGCAUCGAUGAAGAACGUAGCGAAAUGCGAUACUUGGUGUGAAUUGCAGAAUCCCGUGAACCAUCGAGUCUUUGAACGCAAGUUGCGCCCCAAGCUGUUAGGCUGAGGGCACGUCUGCCUGGGUGUCACG
rnacentral:rRNA from 2 species